rnacentral:rRNA from 1 species
CAUGCAGUCGAACGGCAGCACGGGAGCUUGCUCCUGGUGGCGAGUGGCGAACGGGUGAGUAAUAUAUCGGAACGUACCCUAGAGUGGGGGAUAACGCAGCGAAAGUUGCGCUAAUACCGCAUACGAUCUACGGAUGAAAGUGGGGGAUCGCAAGACCUCAUGCUCAUGGAGCGGCCGAUAUCUGAUUAGCUAGUUGGUAGGGUAAAAGCCUACCAAGGCUUCGAUCAGUAGCUGGUCUGAGAGGACGACCAGCCACACUGGAACUGAGACACGGUCCAGACUCCUACGGGAGGCAGCAGUGGGGAAUUUUGGACAAUGGGCGCAAGCCUGAUCCAGCAAUGCCGCGUGAGUGAAGAAGGCCUUCGGGUUGUAAAGCUCUUUUGUCAGGGAAGAAACGGUGGACUCUAAUACAGAUCACUAAUGACGGUACCUGAAGAAUAAGCACCGGCUAACUACGUGCCAGCAGCCGCGGUAAUACGUAGGGUGCAAGCGUUAAUCGGAAUUACUGGGCGUAAAGCGUGCGCAGGCGGUUUGGUAAGACAGAUGUGAAAUCCCUGGGCUCAACCUAGGAAUUGCAUUUGUGACUGCCCGACUAGAGUGUGUCAGAGGGGGGUAGAAUUCCACGUGUAGCAGUGAAAUGCGUAGAGAUGUGGAGGAAUACCGAUGGCGAAGGCAGCCCCCUGGGAUAACACUGACGCUCAUGCACGAAAGCGUGGGGAGCAAACAGGAUUAGAUACCCUGGUAGUCCACGCCCUAAACGAUGUCUACUAGUUGUUGGGUCUUAAUUGACUUAGUAACGCAGCUAACGCGUGA